rnacentral:rRNA from 1 species
CAGCAGCCGCGGGAAUACAGAGGAUGCAAGCGUUAUCCGGAAUGAUUGGGCGUAAAGCGUCUGUAGGUGGCUUUUCAAGUCCGCCGUCAAAUCCCAGGGCUCAACCCUGGACAGGCGGUGGAAACUACCAAGCUGGAGUACGGUAGGGGUAGAGGGAAUUUCCGGUGGAGCGGUGAAAUGUGUUGAGAUCGGAAAGAACACCAACGGCGAAAGCACUCUGCUGGGCCGACACUGACACUGAGAGACGAAAGCUAGGGGAGCAAAUGGGAUUAGAUACCCCCUUAGUCCCUGUCUCUUAUAC